rnacentral:rRNA from 1 species
GAUAAACGCUGGCGGCGUGCCUAAUACAUGCAAGUCGAGCGAACGGACGAGAAGCUUGCUUCUCUGAUGUUAGCGGCGGACGGGUGAGUAACACGUGGAUAACCUACCUAUAAGACUGGGAUAACUUCGGGAAACCGGAGCUAAUACCGGAUAAUAUUUUGAGCCGCAUGGUUCAAAAGUGAAAGACGGUCUUGCUGUCACUUAUAGAUGGAUCCGCGCUGCAUUAGCUAGUUGGUAAGGUAACGGCUUACCAAGGCGACGAUGCAUAGCCGACCUGAGAGGGUGAUCGGCCACACUGGAACUGAGACACGGUCCAGACUCCUACGGGAGGCAGCAGUAGGGAAUCUUCCGCAAUGGGCGAAAGCCUGACGGAGCAACGCCGCGUGAGUGAUGAAGGUCUUCGGAUCGUAAAACUCUGUUAUUAGGGAAGAACAUAUGUGUAAGUAACUGUGCACAUCUUGACGGUACCUAAUCAGAAAGCCACGGCUAACUACGUGCCAGCAGCCGCAGUAAUACGUAGGUGGCAAGCGUUAUCCGGAAUUAUUGGGCGUAAAGCGCGCGUAGGCGGUUUUUUAAGUCUGAUGUGAAAGCCCACGGCUCAACCGUGGAGGGUCAUUGGAAACUGGAAAACUUGAGUGCAGAAGAGGAAAGUGGAAUUCCAUGUGUAGCGGUGAAAUGCGCAGAGAUAUGGAGGAACACCAGUGGCGAAGGCGACUUUCUGGUCUGUAACUGACGCUGAUGUGCGAAAGCGUGGGGAUCAAACAGGAUUAGAUACCCUGGUAGUCCACGCCGUAAACGAUGAGUGCUAAGUGUUAGGGGGUUUCCGCCCCUUAGUGCUGCAGCUAACGCAUUAAGCACUCCGCCUGGGGAGUACGACCGCAAGGUUGAAACUCAAAGGAAUUGACGGGGACCCGCACAAGCGGUGGAGCAUGUGGUUUAAUUCGAAGCAACGCGAAGAACCUUACCAAAUCUUGACAUCCUUUGACAACUCUAGAGAUAGAGCCUUCCCCUUCGGGGGACAAAGUGACAGGUGGUGCAUGGUUGUCGUCAGCUCGUGUCGUGAGAUGUUGGGUUAAGUCCCGCAACGAGCGCAACCCUUAAGCUUAGUUGCCAUCAUUAAGUUGGGCACUCUAAGUUGACUGCCGGUGACAAACCGGAGGAAGGUGGGGAUGACGUCAAAUCAUCAUGCCCCUUAUGAUUUGGGCUACACACGUGCUACAAUGGACAAUACAAAGGGCAGCGAAACCGCGAGGUCAAGCAAAUCCCAUAAAGUUGUUCUCAGUUCGGAUUGUAGUCUGCAACUCGACUACAUGAAGCUGGAAUCGCUAGUAAUCGUAGAUCAGCAUGCUACGGUGAAUACGUUCCCGGGUCU